rnacentral:rRNA from 1 species
UGCGUAGGGUGCAAGCGUUGUCCGGAAUUAUUGGGCGUAAAGAGCUCGUAGGCGGUCUGUCGCGUCGGCUGUGAAAACCCGGGGCUCAACCCCGGGCCUGCAGUCGAUACGGGCAGACUAGAGUGUGGUAGGGGAGACUGGAAUUCUCGGUGUAGCGGUGAAAUGCGUAGAUAUCGAGAGGAACACCUGCGGCGAAGGCGGGUUGCUGGGCUGACACUGACGCUGACAGCGCGAAAGCUAGGGGAGCGAACGGG